rnacentral:rRNA from 1 species
AGUCACUGACAUUAGAUACCCCCGUAGUCCCAGCCGUAAACGAUGUGCGUUAGGUGUAUCGACGACCACGAGUUGUCGAGGUGCCGAAGGGAAACCGUGAAACGUACCGCCUGGGAAGUACGGUCGCAAGGCUGAAACUUAAAGGAAUUGGCGGGGGAGCACCACAACAGGUGGAGCCUGCGGUUUAAUUGGACUCAACGCCGGACAUCUCACCGGAUAAGACAGCUGAAUGAUUGCCGGGCUGAAGACUCUGCAUGACUAGCUG